UACGGGGGGAGCAAGCGUUGUUCGGAUUUACUGGGCGUAAAGGGCGCGUAGGCGGCCAGCACAAGUCAGUUGUGAAAUCUCCGAGCUUAACUCGGAAAGGUCAACUGAUACUGUGCGGCUAGAGUGCAGAAGGGGCAACUGGAAUUCUUGGUGUAGCGGUGAAAUGCGUAGAUAUCAGGAGGAACACCAAUGGCGAAGGCAGCUCGCUGGAACGGUACUGACGCUGAGGCGCGAAAGCGUGGGGAGCGAACAGG
rnacentral:rRNA from 1 species